AACGAUAAAUUAAAGUUAACUAAAUAGAGACUAAACGACAGGUAUUUUAAAAAAUUAUAAAGGUCUAAUUUAAACAAUCUGAGACUCAUACUUACCUAAUAAGUCGUGAAAACAUACACUAAAACACGGAUUAGAUACCCGUCUAUUUAUGUAAUAAACAACUAGUCGAACAAUACGAACCACAGUUUAAAAUUUAAAGAUUUUGGCGGUGUCUUAUCAAACCAGGGGAACCUGUCUCAUAACUCGAUAAUCCACGUAUCCCAAACCUUAUCUUGAAUAUCAGCUUGUGUACUGCCGUCGUAAGCACACCCCUAAAAGUCAAUAAAGUGUGCCAAUAUGAACGCCUCAUUCACGUCAGGUCAAAGUGCAGCUAAUGAUAAGGUGAUGAUGGGUUACAACCUAAAAAUAGACUACGGAAUGUAGCAUUAAAAGCUACAUGAAGGAGGACUUGGAUGUAAUACCGAUCUCAUAUCACAAUGAAUAUGAAUCUAAGACAUGUACACAUCGCCCGUCACUCUCGCCUAAAGGCGAG
rnacentral:rRNA from 1 species